UUUUGCCUUUCUCUCCCACCUCAUCUCUUGCUGUUUCUCUCCUGAUCUUCCCCUCCCUGUUUCCUCUCUUUGGCUCCAGCAAGAACUGCCUUUCUGCUCCUUCAGUGACCAAGCCUACCUCUGCCACAGGCCUUUUACGUCUUCCCUGCUCUUCAGAUGGCUGCUUCCUUUUCAUUCUCAGCUCAGAGAUGACUUCCCCUGGCCAUCAGUAGCCAGUAGUGUUUUUACGUGCAGUUUAAUUUUUAUUGUCAUAUGUUAAGUCACAUUAUUUUAUGUUUUAGGCCACAGAUAUGUGGACAUUUCAGCCUUGAAGGCAGUGGUGCAGCUUGCUGAGCCAUACCUCUGUGAAUCUUGACUGAGUACUUUGAACUUGGAGUGUAUGAAAGAGCUCCUUCAGCUGAAGGAACAUCAGUUGCCCCUGCAGAAGCUGAGUGGUGGUGAUUCUGCAGUGUUUGACCAGACAGCACUUACAACUGAGCAUAUCAGGAUGUGGUUUACUGACGGAUAUUGUGAUAGAAAAGGAGGAAAAAGGUGACGCUUUUGUGGACUGCAUGAAUGUGGAUAUUAAAAUCUCAGGCUGGGCCCAGCGCGAUGGCUCACGCCUAUAAUCCCAGAACUUUGGGAGGACGAGAAAAUAAAGCACUUAACAUUCAGAGAAGUGGAAAGGCAGAUGUAGCUGAAAGAGUAGAUCCGAGGAGCAGAUUCCAUGUGCACCUGCCAAAACAGAGCUUUAUACAAGACCUGACCUUUCUGAGCAAGUUGAAGGCAAUUGUAAAGGAACUGUUUUCUGCCUUUACACAAAACAGCCAGAUGAAGAAGGAAAGGCAAAUUCCUCCGCCCAUACUUGGACCUGGCAACCAUUGA
rnacentral:lncRNA from 13 species